ACACACAGAGAAAUCUGCUGGAGCAUCAGGAACCACCACAAAACACCAGGACAGAGAGAGAAAUGGAGGACAGGAAUGAAACAGAAAUGACUGGAUCACUAGAGAAAAGCAGAGAGAUACUUGGGAGAUGGAACAGUAUGGAGACACUAAAGCCGGAUUUCUCACGUGAUCCAGACGGACCUGUGAUGUUCAUUCAGAUCUUAUUAAGAGAACACAACAUCACAGAGACCAGACACCAGCAUCAUCUUCAUCAUCUUCAUCAUCAUCAGAAUACAGUCUGAUCAGUUCCUGGGCUCUUUUCACACUCAUCUGAUCACAACCAAUGGUUCAGUUUAUUUCAUCUGUACUGUUUACACACACAUAAUUCUGAAUGAAUAUGAUACAGUUUUACAGUAAUCUAACAUAUCAUCAGCUUUUUACUGUAUUUAUUUUUAAUCUUUGGGCUAUGCCCUUUUAUUUAUUUAUUUUUUUUUAAAUGUGUUUUCCUGUAAUUUGGGAUGGUUUGACCCUCGAGUGUAAAAGGGGCGUACUUGACCUCUCAGGAGUUAGUUCUGGUUUGGGUCUCUGUGAGGAGGAUCAACUUUAAUGUAGAUGUGAGUCAAUAAACUCUCUUUUUGA